UACGUAGGGGGCUAGCGUUGUCCGGAAUCAUUGGGCGUAAAGCGCGUGUAGGCGGCUCGGUAAGUCCGCUCUGAAAGUCGGGGGCUCAACCCUCGGAUGCGGGUGGAUACUGUCGAGCUUGAGUGCGGAAGAGGCGAGUGGAAUUCCUGGUGUAGCGGUGAAAUGCGCAGAUAUCAGGAGGAACACCAAUUGCGAAGGCAGCUCGCUGGGACGUUACUGACGCUGAGACGCGAAAGCGUGGGGAGCGAACAGG
rnacentral:rRNA from 1 species